GGGCCCGUAAUCAGAAACGGGAGUAGAAUUAGCCUUCACACGGCGGAGGUCUCGAGUUCGAAUCUCGACGGGCCCAC
rnacentral:tRNA from 1 species